AGUGGACGCUGGCGGUAGGCCUAACACAUGCAAGUCGAACGGCAGCACAGGAGAGCUUGCUCUCUGGGUGGCGAGUGGCGGACGGGUGAGGAAUACAUCGGAAUCUACUUUUUCGUGGGGGAUAACGUAGGGAAACUUACGCUAAUACCGCAUACGACCUCCGGGUGAAAGCAGGGGAACUUCGGGGCUUGCGCGAUUGAAAGCGCCGAUGUGGGAUCAGCUAGUUGGCGGGGGAAAGGCCCACCAAGGCUACGAUCCGUAGCUGGUCGGACGGGAUGCACAGCCACACUGGAACUGAGACACGGUCCAGACUCCUACGGGAGGCAGCAGUGGGGAAUAUUGGACAAUGGGCGCAAGCCUGAUCCAGCCAUACCGCGUGGGUGAAGAAGGCCUUCGGGUUGUAAAGCCCUUUUGUUGGGAAAGAAAUCCAGCUGGCUAAUACCCGGUUGGGAUGACGGUACCCAAAGAAUAAGCACCGGCUAACUUCGUGCCAGCCGCCGCCGUAA
rnacentral:rRNA from 1 species